AUUCGAUAGGAAAGUAUGAAGCAACUUUCUGUGCCAGGCACCGUGCUGGCUUUGCCCCGGGAUGGGUGAGGAAGCUGUGGAAAGAGCCAGUUGUUCGUGCAGGCAUGGAUGACUAACGUGAGAGAUGAAGAAGCCCUUUCUCUGGAGGCAGUCUUGAACUAGAUGAGCUCAUGGAGCCUUUGAAAAGCAUUCACCUGCUCAGGCCUCCUGCACUUGCAUCUUCAGCUCUGACCUUUCCACUGAGCUACAGGCUCACACCUACUUGUCGUCUCCAUCUGGAUAUCUACCAGGUGGAAGCUCUGUGACAGCAGAGACCUUCUC
rnacentral:lncRNA from 1 species